CAAUUCAGUUCUAACAUUGAUAAGCCAGAUGGGGGAAAGGUAUGGGGGAAUUAUCCAAGAAUUGAGGGAAAGUUUGCCCUGAUGUUUAUACUUCCAUAUCUACCCAACUGUUUGAAAGAUGAGCAAAUCAAUUUCUUGGCAUAACAGGUGCCAAUUUACAGGACCCAUAAGGAGUGCAUGGAUGGUGGCCAAAGAGAGUGUUUGCCCAAGAUAAAGUUGCUCAGCUUUUCAAAAGUAAAUGCAAGAUGAAAAUUUUCACUUUGAGAAUUUUCUUCCAAGAUGGAGGUAAGAGUGCUCUUCACAAAAGCCAAUCAAUUAUGUAGAAGAUGUGCUAAGCUUGCACACCCAAGUAACCCACCAGGAUUGGGGAGCAACCCUAGAGACACUUUCACAUAUACCUAAAUGGAGUGGGCAAAAGAAUACCCAUCACAAUAGUUGCUAACCACACCACAGGAAUCCAAAGAUCUUCCUACUCCCUGGUCAUGAUGAAUGGAGAGCACCAUGAAAAAGCAUCAGAAAUCUAUUUUGGUUUCAACUGCAUGAUUCAUUUUGUUCCUUAUUUGCUACACAAAAUAAAUUGCAAUAAAAUCCAAUGUUUCUGAUAUUU
rnacentral:lncRNA from 1 species